AGGAAUACAUUAAGGGACUUCUAAUCCCAACAAAGUGACAAUAUCAUUAUAUUCCUC
rnacentral:tRNA from 1 species